rnacentral:rRNA from 2 species
GAGUUUGAUCCUGGCUCAGGAUGAACGCUAGCGGGAGGCCUAACACAUGCAAGCCGAGCGGUAUGAUUCUUUCGGGAAUCAGAGAGCGGCGUACGGGUGCGGAACACGUGUGCAACCUGCCUUUAUCUGGGGGAUAGCCUUUCGAAAGGAAGAUUAAUACCCCAUAAUAUAUUGAGUGGCAUCACUUAAUAUUGAAAACUCCGGUGGAUAGAGAUGGGCACGCGCAAGAUUAGAUAGUUGGUGGGGUAACGGCCUACCAAGUCGAUGAUCUUUAGGGGGCCUGAGAGGGUGAUCCCCCACACUGGUACUGAGACACGGACCAGACUCCUACGGGAGGCAGCAGUGAGGAAUAUUGGACAAUGGGUGCAAGCCUGAUCCAGCCAUCCCGCGUGAAGGACGACGGCCCUAUGGGUUGUAAACUUCUUUUGUACAGGGAUAAACCUAGAUACGUGUAUCUAGCUGAAGGUACUGUACGAAUAAGCACCGGCUAACUCCGUGCCAGCAGCCGCGGUAAUACGGAGGGUGCAAGCGUUAUCCGGAUUUAUUGGGUUUAAAGGGUCCGUAGGCGGAUCAGUAAGUCAGUGGUGAAAUCUCAUAGCUUAACUAUGAAACUGCCAUUGAUACUGCUGGUCUUGAGUAAGGUAGAAGUAGCUGGAAUAAGUAGUGUAGCGGUGAAAUGCAUAGAUAUUACUUAGAACACCAAUUGCGAAGGCAGGUUACUAUGUCUUAACUGACGCUGAUGGACGAAAGCGUGGGGAGCGAACAGGAUUAGAUACCCUGGUAGUCCACGCUGUAAACGAUGCUAACUCGUUUUUGGGUUUUCGGAUUCAGAGACUAAGCGAAAGUGAUAAGUUAGCCACCUGGGGAGUACGAACGCAAGUUUGAAACUCAAAGGAAUUGACGGGGGCCCGCACAAGCGGUGGAUUAUGUGGUUUAAUUCGAUGAUACGCGAGGAACCUUACCAAGGCUUAAAUGGGAAUUGAUCGGUUUAGAAAUAGACCUUCCUUCGGGCAAUUUUCAAGGUGCUGCAUGGUUGUCGUCAGCUCGUGCCGUGAGGUGUUAGGUUAAGUCCUGCAACGAGCGCAACCCCUGUCACUAGUUGCCAUCAUUAAGUUGGGGACUCUAGUGAGACUGCCUACGCAAGUAGAGAGGAAGGUGGGGAUGACGUCAAAUCAUCACGGCCCUUACGCCUUGGGCCACACACGUAAUACAAUGGCCGGUACAGAGGGCAGCUACACAGCGAUGUGAUGCAAAUCUCGAAAGCCGGUCUCAGUUCGGAUUGGAGUCUGCAACUCGACUCUAUGAAGCUGGAAUCGCUAGUAAUCGCGCAUCAGCCAUGGCGCGGUGAAUACGUUCCCGGGCCUUGUACACACCGCCCGUCAAGCCAUGGAAGUCUGGGGUACCUGAAGUCGGUGACCGUAAAAGGAGCUGCCUAGGGUAAAACAG